rnacentral:rRNA from 1 species
GACAGAGGUGCCGAGCGUUAGGCGGAAUCACUGGGCUUAAAGCGUGUGUAGGCGGACCGUUAAGUACCUUGUGAAAUCCCACGGCUCAACCGUGGAACGGCUGGGUAUACUGGCGGUCUUGGGCCACCUAGGGGCAGAUGGAACAAGUGGUGGAGCGGUGAAAUGCGUAGAUAUCACUUGGAACGCCAAUGGUGAAAACAGUCUGCUGGGGGUGUGCCGACGCUGAGACACGAAAGCCAGGGGAGCGAACGGG